UUUUUUCCACAUGGAAUCAUUCAACUGCACACCUUUGUUUCGUACAUGCUUCCAUACCAGGUGCUAUUUUGUCUGGCUGCCCAUCACCUGCUAUCUGUUACAUGGCAACACAUUGUAGGAUUGGCAGGAAGGUUCAGCUUUUACUGCCACACUAGAAAUAUCUGCCUUAGUAGGCCAAUCUAAUAAAGUAAAUGAUAUUACUUUUUGAACAGCUAUUAUAUAUCAUUAUAUGGGAACUGUUAAGUUAUGUCCUGAUGUAGUGAUUGAGCACCUGCUGAAGAGGUGUAACCAUCCCUGGGAGCACAGGUGUAAGCAAAUCACCUGAAUAAGCAACUGGAAGGAACAGACUUUGUUUAUGGGCUGGCAGCCACAAGGGAAGCAUCUUAACUUAGAGAUAUCUUUCUUUGGAGUGUUUGGUGAACCCUGAUCCUUGGAACAGGGUAAGCAAUUCCUUCAUUAUUUACAGAUUAUGAUGUCUGUCUUAAGUUGAUGAUUCUAAACUGUUUAAAAACAAUUGUAUCUUCUAGCACCUUUCUCUACAAUCAAGUUUAUCAGACUACUUUAGGGCUGGCUGGAAUUUCAAGCAUACCAUCAAGAAUGUUAUCUGAACGCCUCUUAAUUAUGAACAAGCGGAGGACAUCAACUACUAGUGCAAGCCUGUUCCUGUGUCUUAAUGGCUCUUCAGAUACAUACAUUGGACAGUUGCUGACUCCAUUUUUCCUGGAACAUCAGUUCAUUAUGGCAGUAUUUUUCUCUGCAAAAAGAACCUCAUCAGUGAAGAUCCGUGGAGCAUAUUAGGGUUCUCUCAACUCCCAACUAAGCAGACAGACCUUGUCAGUGUGUUUACCCAAGAACCUUUAUGUCAGAACAUCUAAACAAUGAGCUGGUAAAGGGUGCAGAGAGAGAAGAAAUGAGCUAAGGGGAAAAGAAGACAGAAGUAAGAAAAAAGUAAUUGUACUUGAAUAGUGAAAUUGGGAAUUAUGUUUUAUUGUCUGCUAAGCACUGAAGCCUAGGAAACCUACCAAAUAAAUUUAUACAACAGCUGUUCCUAAUCUUAGUAAUUUUGCUGCUAUUCAGACUAAAUUUAAACCUGGAAAUUAUCAUACACAAAAACAUCCCCACCCAAACUUAAACAAACAAAGAAAAAAACCAAACACCUGUCAAUCUGCAGAUGAUGCCUCUUAGCAUGCUUUAAUGUGUAAAUGGAAGGCAGGAAAGAUGAGAUAAAGUCUUCACAUUCUCAAAUAAACCUUAAAUUUGAC